GAUUCUGGCUCAGGAUGAACGCUAGCGGCAGGCUUAACACAUGCAAGUCGAGGGGCAGCGGGAUGUAGCAAUACAUUGCCGGCGACCGGCGGAUGGGUGCGUAACGCGUAUGCAACCUACCUAUACAGGGGAAUAACCUUUCGAAAGGGAGACUAACACCCCAUAGUAUUGAUUUAAGGCAUCUUAGAUUAAUUAAAUAUUUAUAGGUAUAAGAUGGGCAUGCGUAUGAUUAGCUAGUUGGUAAGGUAACGGCUUACCAAGGCGACGAUCAUUAGGGGUUCUGAGAGGAAGGUCCCCCCACACUGGUACUGAGACACGGACCAGACUCCUACGGGAGGCAGCAGUGAGGAAUAUUGGUCAAUGGGCGCAAGCCUGAACCAGCCAUGCCGCGUGCAGGAAAAGACGGCCUUAUGGGUUGUAAACUGCUUUUACAUAAGACUAACCGUAUAUUUGCGAAUAUACCUGAAUGUAUUAUGAGAAUAAGGAUCGGCUAACUCCGUGCCAGCCGCAGC
rnacentral:rRNA from 1 species